GACGAACGCUGGCGGCGUGCUUAACACAUGCAAGUCGAACGCUGAAGCUCUGCUUUUGUUGGGUGGAUGAGUGGCGAACGGGUGAGUAACACGUGAGUAACCUGCCUCCUUCUUUGGGAUAACGCCCGGAAACGGGUGCUAAUACUGGAUAUUCACUGGUCUUCGCAUGUGGGUGGGGGGAAAGGUUUGUGCUGGGGGGGGAUGGGGUGGCGGCCUAUCAUGUUGUUGGUGGGGUGAUGGCCUAGCAAGUCUUUGACUGGUAGCCGGACUGAGAGGGUGCCCGAUAACAUUGGCACUGAGAUACGGCCCAGGCUCCUACGGGAGGCCGUAGUGGAGACUAUUGCACAAUAGGUGCAAGACUGAUGCAGCGCCGCAGCGUGAGGGACGGCGGGCUUCAGGUUGUCAACCGCUUUCGAUAAUGGUCACGCCGCAACCAUGGUUGUGGUGAGGGUAGUGGGUAAAGAAGCGCCGGCUAACUACGUG
rnacentral:rRNA from 1 species